rnacentral:rRNA from 1 species
GAUGAACGCUGGCGGCGUGCCUAAUACAUGCAAGUCGAGCGAACAGACGAGGAGCUUGCUCCUCUGACGUUAGCGGCGGACGGGUGAGUAACACGUGGAUAACCUACCUAUAAGACUGGGAUAACUUCGGGAAACCGGAGCUAAUACCGGAUAAUAUAUUGAACCGCAUGGUUCAAUAGUGAAAGACGGUUUUGCUGUCACUUAUAGAUGGAUCCGCGCCGCAUUAGCUAGUUGGUAAGGUAACGGCUUACCAAGGCAACGAUGCGUAGCCGACCUGAGAGGGUGAUCGGCCACACUGGAACUGAGACACGGUCCAUACUCCUACGGGAGGCAGCAGUAGGGAAUCUUCCGCAAUAGGCGAAAGCCUGACGGAGCGACGCCGCGUGAGUGAUGAAGGUCUUCGGAUCGUAAGACUCUGUUAUUAGGGAAGAACAAAUGUGUAAGUAACUAUGCACGUCUUGACGGUACCUAAUCAGAAAGCCACGGCUAACUACGUG